rnacentral:rRNA from 1 species
CCUACGGGUGGCAGCAGUAGGGAAUAUUGCUCAAUGGGGGAAACCCUGAAGCAGCAACGCCGCGUGGGGGAUGAAGGUUUUCGGAUUGUAAACCCCUUUUGUUAGGGAAGAAAAUGACGGUACCUAACGAAUAAGCACCGGCUAACUCCGUGCCAGCAGCCGCGGUAAUACGGAGGGGGCAAGCGUUAUUCGGAUUCACUGGGCGUAAAGAGGGCGUAGGCGGGAUAGCAAGUCAGAUGUGAAAGCCGAGGGCUUAACCCCAGAACUGCAUUUGAAACUGUGAUUCUAGAGUGUGGGAGAGGUAGGCGGAAUUCUUGGUGUAGCGGUGAAAUGCGUAGAGAUCAAGAAGAACACCGAUGGCGAAGGCGGCCUGCUGGACCAUAACUGACGCUGAUGCGCGAAAGCGUGGGGAGCAAACAGGAUUAGAUACCCGGGUAGUC